GGGAAAGUAGUCUAGCUUGGUAUGAUUCUUGGUCCGGAACCAAGAUUUUGCUUUAACUAAAAGUGAAUUGGUAGAGGUCGGGGGUUCAAAUCCCCUCUUUCCCA
rnacentral:tRNA from 1 species